AUGCUCACUUUGGCAGCACAUAUACUAAAGUUGGAACGAUACUGAGAUUAGCAUGGUCCCUGUGCAAGGGUGACAUACACAAAGCAUUCCAUAUUUUU
rnacentral:snRNA from 1 species